CCGUAAGGCGAUGUAUACGGACUGACGCCUGCCCGGUGCUGGAAGGUUAAGAGGAACCAUCAACCCUCGGGUGAAGUGGUGAAUUUAAGCCCCAGUAAACGGCGGUGGUAACUAUAACCAUCCUAAGGUAGCGAAAUUCCUUGUCGGGUAAGUUCCGACCUGCACGAAUGGAGUAACGACUUCCCUACUGUCUCAACCAUGAACUCGGUGAAAUUGCAGUACGAGUAAAGAUGCUCGUUUCGCGCAGCAGGACGGAAAGACCCCGUGACCUUUACUAUAGUUUGGUAUUGGUGUUUGGGUUGGCUUGUGUAGGAUAGGUGGGAGACUGUGAAGCUGUCACGCUAGUGGUGGUGGAGUCGUUGUUGAAAUACCACUCUGGUCAAUCUGGAUGUCUAACUUCGGGCCAUGAUCUGGUUCAGGGACAGUGCCUGAUGGGUAGUUUAACUGGGGCGGUUGCCUCCUAAAGUGUAACGGAGGCGCCCAAAGGUUCCCUCAGCCUGGUUGGCAAUCAGGUGUUGAGUGUAAGUGCACAAGGGAGCUUGACUGUGAGAGUGGCGACUCGAGCAGGGACGAAAGUCGGGACUAGUGAUCCGGCAGUGGCUUGUGGAAGCGCUGUCGCUCAACGGAUAAAAGGUACCUCGGGGAUAACAGGCUGAUCUUGCCCAAGAGUCCAUAUCGACGGCAUGGUUUGGCACCUCGAUGUCGGCUCGUCGCAUCCUGGGGCUGGAGUCGGUCCCAAGGGUUGGGCUGUUCGCCCAUUAAAGCGGUACGCGAGCUGGGUUCAGAACGUCGUGAGACAGUUCGGUCCCUAUCCGCUGCGCGCGUUGGAGAAUUGAGAAAGGCUGUCCUUAGUACGAGAGGACCGGGACGGACGAACCUCUGGUAUGUCAGUUGUACCGCCAGGUGCAUGGCUGAUUGGCUACGUUCGGGAGGGAUAACCGCUGAAGGCAUCUAAGCGGGAAGCCUGUUUCGAGAUGAGUUCUCCUGGCACCCUUUGGGUGUGUGAGGCUCCUUAGAGAUGAUGAGGUUGAUAGGCCGGGUAUGGAAGCGUUGUAAGGCGUGGAGUUGACUGGUACUAAUAGGCCGAAGACUUAUUCAC
rnacentral:rRNA from 1 species